rnacentral:tRNA from 1 species
UGGCAGGUGGUCAGCAGGUAUGUGCCGGCCCUCAACUGGCCGGAGGUCGGGGAGGCGGCCAGCUACUCGUUGAUCGUCCUGACGUUCGUCAU